UACAGAGGGUGCAAGCGUUAAUCGGAUUUACUGGGCGUAAAGCGUGGGUAGGUGGCUCGCCAAGUCGAUUGUGAAAGCCCUGGGCUCAACCUGGGAAUUGCAGUCGAUACUGGUGAACUAGAGUUCGGUAGAGGGUGACGGAAUUCCCGGUGUAGCGGUGAAAUGCGCAGAUAUCAGGAAGAACACCGAUGGCGAAGGCAGCUCUCUGGGACGGUACUGACGCUGAGACGCGAAAGCGUGGGGAGCGAACAGG
rnacentral:rRNA from 1 species